rnacentral:rRNA from 1 species
GACAGAGGGGGCAAGCGUUGCUCGGAAUUACUGGGCGUAAAGGGCACGUAGGCGGGAUGGCAAGUCGGUCGUGAAAUCCCUCGGCUCAACCGAGGAACGUCGAUCGAUACUGCUGUUCUUAGGAUUGCAGAGGAGACUGGAAUUCCCGGUGUAGCGGUGAAAUGUGUAGAGAUCGGGAGGAACACCGGUGGCGAAGGCGGGUCUCUGGGCAAUUCCUGACGCUGAGGCGCGAAAGCGUGGGGAGCAAACGGG